rnacentral:lncRNA from 1 species
ACAUUCUGUUGCCAUUAAAAGUAAACUCUGGCUGACCAGAAAUUUGAAAUUUUACUGUUUUCUCGAAGCAGUCAACAGUGGCAUGAUAUGCUGCCAACCAGUCCAUCCCAAGGAUCAUGUCGAAAUCCUUCAUCCCUAGGACUAGUAAAUCUACUUUUAUUUCCCUGCCUUCAAUAUUCAAGACACAAUCUUUGCAGACAAAGUUAACUAAGAUUACAUCUCCAUUAGGGAUGGAGACACACAGUUCAGUCUCUAGUGGCAAAGAAAUCAAUGUACUAUUUCUUCCAACAAAAUUAGCAGAUACAAAAGAAUGAGUAGCUCCAGGAUCAAUCAAAAUAUAGGCAUUCAUGGAUGAGAUUUCAAUUGUACCUGUCACCACGGUGUUAGAGGCGUCGGCAUCGUGUUGUGUAAGAGCAUAGACUCGCCCCUGAGUUCUAGGCCUCUGCUGUCCUCCUCGUUGUUGUUCAUUCUGAGAUACUUGAUUUGCUGGAGCUC